CCUGUGUUUCCUCGUUUUGAAAUACUAAUGUAGUGUAUGCAUUGUGUGCACUGAAAAUGUGAUAUGAAUGUGUAACAGAGGGGGAGCAACCCUGUGGAGUCCUGCUGACUGUGACCAUGGACUACAAAUCCCAGAGGCACUGGGAAUCAGGAAGAGGAAGGGAUGAGACACCCUGCAGGUUUCUGUUCCUGGCAAAUGUCAGAGCUCUUGUGGGGAGCAGGAAGAGGAAGCAAAGGGAGAACCCAGGCUGGCUACUUGCCUGUGGUAUGCUGGCUGGGGAAGACUGGAGGAGAGGGAAGCCUCUUCACAACACAGAUGAAUGACAGAUCGACUGCACAUGAUGCCUAACCUAGAGACCUGCAGAGAGCAACUUUGGACUAAAGGCUGGUUCUUGGGGACACCUCCAGAGGAAGCAACUUUUCUGACCUGGAGAAGAAUAGCAGCAGCUGAGAGAGAAAAGAGAAAGAGUAAAAUACAAUGGAAAAGAAAGGAAGCUACUGAACAAAAUAAAAGGAGAGAGAAAAAUAAAACAUUGGACAUCACCACACAGCCCACUAUAGCACAGUACUGCUGACCAGCUAUUAAAUACAUAUGUCCUGGCAGGCAGGAGUCACGAUUCAAAAGUGAAGACUAAAUUAUAUGAACUACUCACCACAGAGCUCUUGUAUUGUUUUUCAGUGGACUGCUGAAUGCCUUGCCAGCUUUCUUAUUUCUUCAACUGCUACUAUGUGAAUUCCUUUUUGUAAAAAUCUAAUAAAGUGUAUAGACUGACACA
rnacentral:lncRNA from 1 species